rnacentral:snoRNA from 1 species
GCGUACAUUUUAGUGGUCUGUCUUCUUUUAUAAAUGUAAGCAGCCUUAUUUCUUUGGUACCACGCAAGGAAUCGAUGGUUAAUCAGCAGUACCUAUAAAAACAAAAAACCGACACCCACUACUGUUGAGUU